rnacentral:lncRNA from 1 species
AGAAUGCCAUCUCUAGGAUGCCAAUGGGCUGUGUCUACAGUACUAUGUAGGAAAGUGCUGCAAGAGAGAGCCCAUUUUGCCUAAACAAGAACCACGAUUAUGUAAAGUUCUUUCUGUCACCUCUCUGAAGACCUGGUUCAUAUCUGCAGCUGCAACUCUAUCCCUGAACUCAUCUUUGAAACUACCCAGAGAUAGACUGUCAAGAGCUUCAGAGCUUUACAACAGGAUCUUCCAAGUGCCCUGAGAGGUCAUGAUGGAGCCAAUAGAAAUAAAUCAUACAAAACAAAGCCAGAACCUGGUGGGAGGGAUGCUUACAAAACAACAUAAACGAGAAGUUGUCUGAAAAAAAAUUGUAUGGAAGGAAGAAGAGAUGAGAUAAGGGAAAUGAACUCAUAAUAGCCCCAGUUAAAAUACUUACAGUAAAAUAUCAUUAGUACUACUUGAUGUUGGUGAAAGGCUCUAGACUCAAGUCAGAAGGCCCAAUUUGUUGCUGUGAUUUCUUGAACAAAUUAUGUAAUUGUGUUGAGAUUCAGUUUUCUUUUCUAUCAUUGGGUAUUAAUAACUUCUAUGUGAUGUCAGAGUU